GCUGAAUAGUUUGUAAGCUGACAGAGAAAAAGCUAUUCAGUUCUAGCUACUGUUCUCUCCUCCCAAACCCAUCCUGAAAGAGUUGAACCUGAACAACAGCCGUCUGCUGGACUCAGGAGUCAAAAGAGAUCUGUGAGGACUGAAGAAUCCUGUGUGUGAGCUGAAGAUACUCAAGCUGAGCAACUGUGAUCUAAAUGAGGAAAGCUGUUCAGCUCUCAAUUCAGUUCUCAGUUCAGCCUCUAGCAGUCUGAAGGAGCUUUGACCUGAGCAAUAAUAAUCUGAAGGAUUCAGGAGUGAAGCUGCUGUCUAAUGCACUGAAAGAGAAUUGCAAACUAGAGAAAACUCAGACUUUCAGAGUGCAGUAUCACUGAAGAAGGUUAUAAAGCUCUGGCUUCAGCUCUGAGAUCAAAACCUUCACACCUGAUAGAGCUGGACCUCACAGGAAAUGAUCCUGGACAAUCAGGAGUGAAGCAGCUCAGUGAUGUUACUACAGGGAUGAAUGCUUUACAAUAAAGAAAAUCAGCUUUUUGAAAAGUCCUGCUGCACAGGAAGCGUGCAAGUAUCUCACUAAAGUUCUGGGUAAAAGUCCAUUACUACUGACAGAACUGGAUCUGAGUGAAGAUGAAUUAAGAGAUCUGGAUGGAGAGAAACUCUCUGCUCUUUUGAUGGAAUCUCAUAGCAAACUGGAGA